AGUGAACGCUGGCGGUAGGCCUAACACAUGCAAGUCGAACGGCAGCACAGUAAGAGCUUGCUCUUACGGGUGGCGAGUGGCGGACGGGUGAGGAAUACAUCGGAAUCUACUUUUUCGUGGGGGAUAACGUAGGGAAACGUACGCUAAUACCGCAUACGACCUACGGGUGAAAGCAGGGGAUCUUCGGACCUUGCGCGAUUGAAUGGGCCGAUGUCGGAUUAGCUAGUUGGCGGGGUAAAGGCCCACCAAGGCGACGAUCCGUAGCUGGUCUGAGAGGAUGAUCAGCCACACUGGAACUGAGACACGGUCCAGACUCCUACGGGAGGCAGCAGUGGGGAAUAUUGGACAAUGGGCGCAAGCCUGAUCCAGCCAUACCGCGUGGGUGAAGAAGGCCUUCGGGUUGUAAAGCCCUUUUGUUGGGAAAGAAAAGCAGCAGGUUAAUACCCCGCUGUUCUGACGGUACCCAAAGAAUAAGCACCGGCUAACUUCGUG
rnacentral:rRNA from 1 species